rnacentral:rRNA from 1 species
GACGAACGCUGGCGGCGUGCCUAACACAUGCAAGUCGAGCGGAGUUCACUGGAGGAAGUUUUCGGAUGGAAUCUAAUGAACUUAGCGGCGGACGGGUGAGUAACGCGUGAGCAACCUGCCUUUCACAGGGGGAUAAGGCGGCGAAAGCCGCUCUAAUACCGCAUGAGACCACGGUAUUGAUGAUACAGGGGUCAAAGGAGCAAUCCGGUGGAAGAUGGGCUCGCGUCCGAUUAGGUAGUUGGUGAGGUAACGGCCCACCAAGCCAAUGAUCGGUAGCCGGCCUGAGAGGGUGAACGGCCACAUUGGAACUGAGAUACGGCCCAG